UCCGAAAUCAAUUCUUUUUGGCGAAGACGACGACGAUCUGAUCUAAUCGAAUCCGAUUGGCGAAUUUAAGAAAAACAAGAUCUUGAGGCGAAAUUGUAAGCAGACAUGGCGGAAGAGCACAGAUGCGAAGCCCCAGAAGGCCACCACCUCUGCGCAAACAACUGCGGAUUCUUCGGCAGCCCGGCCACCAUGAACCUCUGCUCCAAAUGCUACAGAGACUUCUGCCUCAAGGAGCAGCAGCAGGCGUCGAUCAAAUCCACCGUCGAAGCCUCCCUCUCCGCCUCCGCUGCCGAUGCCGCUUCUUCCUCUCUCUCCGCUCCUUCUUCCCCUCCUUCAACAUCCUUGCCUGCCUCUCCGGCAGCGAUCGAGACUCUCUGCCAAC
rnacentral:lncRNA from 1 species